rnacentral:ribozyme from 1 species
AGGCCUGACUUCAACGGGAUGUGGUCUUGCUUCGAAAUUGUUGGCGACAUGGACGCUCUACUUGUGUCAUUGGAAGUGGG